rnacentral:rRNA from 1 species
AUUGAACGCUGGCGGCAUGCUUUACACAUGCAAGUCGAACGGUAACAGGCCGCAAGGUGCUGACGAGUGGCGAACGGGUGAGUAAUGCAUCGGAACGUGCCCAGUCGUGGGGGAUAACUACUCGAAAGAGUAGCUAAUACCGCAUACGAUCUAUGGAUGAAAGCGGGGGACCGUAAGGCCUCGCGCGAUUGGAGCGGCCGAUGUCAGAUUAGGUAGUUGGUGGGGUAAAGGCUCACCAAGCCAACGAUCUGUAGCUGGUCUGAGAGGACGACCAGCCACACUGGGACUGAGACACGGCCCAGACUCCUACGGGAGGCAGCAGUGGGGAAUUUUGGACAAUGGGCGCAAACCUGAUCCAGCAAUGCCGCGUGCAGGAAGAAGGCCUUCGGGUUGUAAACUGCUUUUGUACGGAACGAAACGGCUCUGGUUAAUACCCGGGGCUAAUGACGGUACCGUAAGAAUAAGCACCGGCUAACUACGU